GACGAACGCUGGCGGCGUGCCUAAUACAUGCAAGUCGAGCGGGGUUUUCGGACCUAGCGGCGGACGGGUGAGUAAUGCGUAGGAAGCUACCCGAUAGAGGGGGAUACCAGUUGGAAACGACUGUUAAUACCGCAUAAUGUCUACGGACCAAAGUGUGGGACCUUCGGGCCACAUGCUAUCGGAUGCGCCUACGUGGGAUUAGCUAGUUGGUGGGGUAAUGGCUCACCAAGGCGACGAUCCCUAGCUGGUUUGAGAGGAUGAUCAGCCACACUGGAACUGAGACACGGUCCAGACUCCUACGGGAGGCAGCAGUGGGGAAUAUUGGACAAUGGGCGCAAGCCUGAUCCAGCCAUGCCGCGUGUGUGAAGAAGGCCUUCGGGUUGUAAAGCACUUUCAGUAGGGAGGAAGGGUGUUGUGUUAAUAGCACAGCAUUUUGACGUUACCUACAGAAGAAGCACCGGCUAACUCUGUGCCAGCCGCCGCGGUAAGAC
rnacentral:rRNA from 1 species